rnacentral:lncRNA from 1 species
GACGCACUGAGUUGCUCCAAACAACCUGAGUAUAGUGUCGGCAUUCCCCACCCACGCAUGAGUUGGAGUUGUAGUCAUAAUAAGGCUUCUCGGCCACCCACAUGUUCACUGCAUCGGUGCCUGUCAAUGAAGGGCUGCCCCAGGCAAGGUUCUCACCGUAAGGCCCACCUGAAUGCACUAGAUUGCAGUCGCCAAUCCUCUGGUUAGCAUAGUUCUGGGCGUAGGUAGCCACAGUGUCGUCCCAUGUCAUAGACCCAACACCAACUUGUGCCCGCGCUGUAUUGUGAGCAUUGACGUAGUCCUGUGGAGAGUUCUGGGCAUAGCAGGUGUGAGCUAGAGCUAACCCCAUGAGACCAACAAGGAGUGGCAAUGAAAUCUUACACAACCCCAUCUUUUUUAGUUUCUAUGAUGAGAAGUGAGGUUAUUGAUGAGAAAUGAGGCUUGGUUUGAAGGGUAUUUAUAGGGGAGAUAUAUAGAAGCAUCAUAAUCUCUAAGUCAUGCCCUCCCAAACUUACCCCUUGCAAUUGGACACUGUCGUUGUGGUCGCCUUCACACUUAAAAGAUCAACAACUGAAAAAAUAGUUAAUUAGCACUAAGAUCGAAAUGACUUCCAUUCAUGUUCAAUUUUUUCCUAAGGAAUAAUCAACAAUAUUGAAAAUUCUUCUAUGUUUUGGAAAUCUUCUAGGGUUAAACCUGGCGGCCAGACCAGUUUGAUCAAGACUAGCGAACUUUCUUCUAAAAGGACAUGUACAAAGAAUUAAAAGGGAAAAUAGUGCUGAUGUGAAAUCAAAACUAAUACCACUGAUGUUUAACUCCAAAGUAGAUAGAUUUCAGUGAAUUUCAUUAAUAUGCAUAUGGGAUCUGAUCAAAUUUUUUAGGAGGAUAUUUAUCUCAAUUACAACCCAAAAAAAAAAUGAUUUUUUUUUUUUUUUUGGAGAUAAUAUUGGGGUGAUUCUUUCAUUCAAUCAGUUUUUAGUGGAGAUUUUUGGAAAUUUUUUUGUUAAAUGGAGGCCUAGAAGUCAGAAGAGAGAUUUGCCUUUAAUGAUGGCCCAAUUUAUCAAAUCAAAUUUGAAUUGAAGGGAAAGAAAAGAAGGAACUAAUACCAUGUUUGGAAGGUAUUUUCUAAAAGAAUUUUGAAAAAUAAUUUUUUAAUAUUUUGUAAAGCAAAAGUUCAUUUAAAAAUCUACCAUUUUUUAACUUAUUUUUUAUAUUUUAGAAAUAAUUUUUACAUUUAGUGUUUUAUUUUUAAUCAUUUUUUAUAUUUAUAUAUUUAAUUUUUAAAACUGUAUUAUUUUUUUAUUUUUAAAAAUAGAAAAAUGUUUCCUAUUUUUUAUUCCCAUAUGAAUUUAUUAUUUUUGAAAACCCUUACCAAACAUGCAUUGUGAGGAGUACUUCAUGGAGAGUUGAUCUAAAUUCAAAGAAAAAUGUAGGGCUCCUCCCAGAACAAUCAUUUUAACUAGGUCGUCAAGUAGCAUCUGCAUCAACCCCCCAUAUUAAUAAAAAGGCAGUGAAUGCAUGCAUUCAAAUUGUUCAUGUCUUUAGAUGCUGAAAUUCUUGACACUGAUCAGCCAAUAUUUUUCUUAUAUUAAAAAACAAGAAAAAAACAGCCCUUUUAAAACCUUUGAUCACGGACGAAUUUACACGUGGUUCUUCAGAUUCUGCAAAUACAUGAUACAAAUUAUCCUAACCGGUUUGAAUGCUUGACUAAAACAAGGUGUUUGGUCUUUUAAUGUUAGAUUUCGAGAUUCCGUGGAAAGUUGGUUACGACUUAAGAGACACUUGUGGGUAGGCCAUGAAAGUUGAAUAAUUUAUCGUGUAACACAUUAUUUGAGCAAGCAAGUAAUGUGUUACACAUUAUGUGAUUUAAUUUUUAUGAGUUUGAAAUGGUGAUACAAUAUGAUUUUAUUCCUUAUUCUUAUUCUUGGCUAUUAUCGUGACAUCACGAUUGGCGGACUAAUGGUAGCAAAGGAAGACAAAAGUUACAAGGACUUUUAGCUCCUAAUUUAACAAAAAUUAUUGAGGAUGUAGAGUUAUUCUUGAAAGACUAGAAACAUUUUUUAACAUUUAGAAAUUUUUUCUUUAUAGAAAUUAAGUAUUUGAUAAGCAUUAAAAAUUUAAGAAAUUUGGAAUUAUCACUUGAUAUGAUAUUUAUUCCAAAAAUUAUUAUUAUUUUUUGUUAUGUAUUCCAUUCCAUUACUAGAAAUGUUUUCAAAUUUAUCUUUUAAAUUAGAUUCAAACAUUAACUAAAUCUCGAUUAAGUUUUUAUGAUAGAAGUAUUAUCAACAAAAAUUUAAAAGUGCUUUUACAAGAAUUGCCCCCGAGCACAUUGACAAAAUCAUGAUGAUUUUGAGUGAAAAUUUCCAUGGUAUUAGACUUAGUUCUUUUCUAUUGUAAGGUUAUAUAUGUUAUGCUAGAAUAGGAGAAUAUCAUGACUUCUAAUGAAAUAUAACAUCUUUGAAUAUUAUAUUUAUAUCUAAUUAGAUAUUAAAUCAUGCUCAUGUUUGAUUUAUAGAAUGAAUAAAUGAACUGAAAAAUAUACUACAUUUUAAAGUUAAUUAUUUUUUUCUAAAAUAAAAAUAUAUUGCAUUUAAUUGCUUGUUUUUAAACAAAUAUAAAAUCGUUUAUUUGUUUAUUAUUACUAUUUGAAAAUCAUUCUAUAAUUUAUUAUUUGUGUAAUUAUUUUUAUUUAUUUGUUAUAACAUUUAUGAAUAAAAUUAAUAUUUAAAUAUCACAUAAUGUCUACUAUUAGUAUAUUUAAGUUGUAGUAUCCAUAUUUUUUAAUUAUUUUUUCAAAAUAAAAUUUUAAUUUUUCUAAUUUAAUUUAAUUUAAUUUUAUAAAAUACGAUAUAUAAAGAAAUUUUAAAAAUAAAAAAAUGUAUGACAUGAAUAAAUUGACGAAACAUGGAAUCUGUAUAUAUCAUGUCUCAACUUAGAAUUAUUAUAUCUCAUGAUAUAAAUAUGAGGUUGGAUGAGUUAUCCUAUUGUAUGUAUGAUUAAAUAUGAGAUACAAAGAGCAUUGAGAUAAUUAAUUCUAUUCAUCCCUAAUCAAAUAUGAAAUAAAACAUGUUUUUCUAUUCUUUAUCCAAUUAUAAUAACUAACCAACAUAAUUUAAGUCUAAACGAAAAACUCUGUGGUAUUUAUUUAAUUUGAUUUUGUUUUUAUUUAUACAAUUCUUGAUAGAAAUUAAUAUAAAAAUAUCAUUUAAAAUUCAAAUAAAAGUUAAACUCUUUUUAUUUAGAUAAAAUAUCUAAAAAUAAAAUUUAACUUAAAAAAUAAAUUAUAUUGAAAAGAUUGAAAAUAAAUAAAAAUAAAAAUAGUAGGGCUUUGUAAAACUACUUUUAAAUUUAAAAAUAUUGUAAGCAUUUAACUUCCCAUAAUACCAAAAACCUCAAAAUCCUAAACUUCUUUGUUUUAAAAAUAUUAAGAUGGGAUAUUAGAAGUGUGUUUGGGAUUGUUUCUUCUUAGAUGUGUUUUUAGUGGAAGUGUUUUAUUUCUAAAAAAACAUUACAAAUAAUAUUUUAAUGCUACAAGUGAUUUUUCAAAUUUUAAAAAAAUAUUUCAUAAAUUUUAUCAAAUAACUAAUGUUGUUUUAAAAACACUUUUUAGGUUAAAAAUAUUUUCUAGAAUUAUUAUCAAGCGGAUUUUUUAUUUGGUUAAGAAGUUUAGAAGGAGGAAAACAAAAACUCAAUAUAUAUAUAUAUAUAUUUUCCUAUGUUUAAAUAAUAUGGAAAAAAACGUGUGAAAAAUAUCAAGGAAUCCAAGAACAAAAUAAAUUAUAAUUUUCUUUAUCUUUGUCUUUUCUUUUUCUUUUUUUCCUUCAAACUUUUCACAACCAGCCAUAUGCUCAAAGUUAACGUAUAUAUUAUAACAAUCUAAGUUGUCUAGACGGAUUAAAAGCUUUGCCAAAUUAAUUGGGUCUUGGUAGACUUUAAGAAAAAUACAAAACAAAUUGGUCAAAUGGUUAUGUAGAAGUCUUGAGAGAGCCCAACUUGGGAAUUACGUAUCCAAUUAUAAUGCUUGGAAAAGUCAAUAUGAUGAAUUUCUUGGAUGAAUCUAGAUGAAGUUUGGCCUACAUAUAAGGAAAAAUGACAUUAUGGUCACUGGUGGUAGGCGUCAAUCACGGGACAAACAUAAGCUUGUGAUGGAAAAUUCACUUGACCGGAGAUUAAUGCUGUAGGAAUAAUAUCAUUGGACUAAGGAUUUUGCUAAAGAAUUUUCAGAGCUCACAUGGUGUGGAGUAGUUUUCUAAUUUGUGACUCCGCUUGAUUGGACAGCUUAGAAAAAUUGUUUAGUUUUAGUUUCUAAUCUCUUCGAUCUAUUGUGCCAGCUUGGGAGUAGCUUAUAAGUUAUAACUUUGAAAAUUUGAUGUUAAACAGUAGUCAAUUUUGUCUUUUUUUUUUCCAUAUGUCAAAAAUAAAAAAGUAUUUCACUGUUCAAUAAAAAGUGUGUAGGAGUAAUUUUAGUAAAACUAGAUGAGAUUUUUAAGGUUUAAAAAUGUUUGUAUUGCAAUAAUUAAGAGUGUGUUUGGUACUUAUUCUAUAAAACGUUUCUAGUUUUUAUAAUACUUGGAUGAUAACAUUUUUCAAGUGUUAAAAAUAUUAGAAAUGCUUUCUAAAAUUAUUGCCAAAUGAGCUCUAAAGAUUUGACAAUUCCUUGAAAUGAUUUUUGAAUGGAUGCUUGAGAAAUAUUUUUAUAAGGGGUAAAUAAUAGAUAAAGAUUAUUGGAUUGUAAAAUUUGAAUCAAUUUUGUUAUGCUUUUUAUAGGAUCCUCACUAAGUUUGUAGAGAUUGAACCACCCUGUCAGCUCACUGAGGUUGAAAGAGACAACAUCUCCUAGAAAUUUUUUUUUUAUGUGAUGAAUGAUGAAUUUAUCUUUAUUGUAUAUUUAACCUUAUUAUGAUUUAGAGAUUUUUUAGACAAUGUGAUUACAAUUGAAAGGUGUGUGGAAGUUUUAUCGUUGUAACUUUUCUUUUUUAUUUAAUUAGUGGAUUUUUUUAGUGUUGAUACAUUUUAUGAACGUAGGAUCACAUUGAUCGUUAAACCACAUUAAAACUCUAGUGUUUUUCAUUUAUUUUUCUACUUAUUUGUGUGGUUUGAUUUAUAAAUAAUAACUCAAUAAAAUAGGAAUAGUUAACACAUAUGACCCCACCGAAAAAAUUUCUUUCACUUCAAUAAAAAAGAGUGAAGAGAUUUAAUAAUGAAACUUUCCCAAAAAGAUUGAUGAAGGAACUCUCACAUUCACAACCCUAGAAUAAUCCUAGAAAAACAACCCUUAUUGUUUUCUCCAUUUUUUUUCCAUAUCAUAUGACACUUCUCAGUUUUUUGGGCAUCCACAAAAGAAACCCUACUUGCACCUUAUAUUUUAGCUUAAAAAAAAGAGUCUAAAUAUGGGCUUGAAAAACUUUUCAUGACAGAAUAAACCUAACCUAUCAAUUUCUUCCAAAAUAAUUACUUUUUAUUACGGAACACAUUAUCAAAACACUCUAGUUAGAGUUUUUGUAAUGUAGGCACCCUUUCUACUAUGAUUAAGGUUUAAAUUAUGAGGUGUUAGAUUAGUUUCAUCAGGAGUAUAUAGUAAUUCAUUAUUGUUGAUGGUUUCGAUUUUACUUGGAAGUUACUCCAUUGUAAUAGUUCAUAUAGAAAUGAGACUUUUUUCUUACCCAUAAAGGAUUGUGCUCGGAUCAAUUAAGACCCUUUUACAAAUGUCAACCAUUAUUUCUAUUUGGAGCGCAAUUGGUUGAGUUGUGUUGGGUUUUCUAUUAAUGGGUAUACAUUCAAAUAAAACUAAUUCUCGAGUUUUAGAAUGCGUUGAUUUUAAAUAUAGUUUUUAGCAUUUUUAAAACUUGAAAGAUAAAAUUCAUAAAAAAAAUUAAAAACUAAAAAUAUUUCUUAAACUUACUACCAAACAGACCCUUAAAAUGCUUUAUUUAAGCUUCAUACUACCUUAUUUUUUGUAAAGAUCAAAUUUGAAUUAAGUGACAUUAGAUUGAAUUCAAACCAUUUAUAAUGGUUUCUCUUACUUCAAUUUUUAUAGAUUUGUAAGAGGAUCUAAAUAAUAAAUGUGAUGAUAUUUUUAAAAUAUUAAUAGUAUCUUUUGGACAAAAUGAAAUAGUACAUAGUAUAACAAUUAUAAUAUGAAGCCAUUUUUCUUAAAAUUGUUUUAGAAAUAUAUAAAUUAAAUUAAUUAAAUUGGGUUUGAAUUAAAUUUCCUAAAAAUCAUCAAAACUUUAGCUUGAGGCCAAUUUAAACUUAAUUUAUAUUAUAAAUUACAUAAUAAUAUGAAUUAUAAAUAUUAAUUUAGGUUUGGAUUAAGUUUUUGGACAAUUACCAAAACAAGGUAAGGUGAACUCCAACUUAAUUCAUGUUAAAAAAAAAAACUCAAUCAAUUAACUAGAAAACAAAACAAUGAAUGCAUAGCGAAAGAACUGAACUCAACCGCUCCUAACUAGGGUCAAGGCUUGGUUUAAUAGGUGUGAAGAAAAAUAAAACAUUUUUAUCCUUUACUAAUUAUAUAAACAUAUAUUAUGUAUAAAAUAUGGAUGAAUUUAAAACUCAAAAAAGUCAUUUUCAUGCAUUAAAGUAUUAACUUUUGCGCAUGUUUUAAAUAUUACCCUCCAACCAACUAAACCCUCCAUAUGUAUGGAAGGAAAUUAGCUUCCCUCCAAAUAUCACUCGAAAAUCCCAACAAAUCCGAAAUUAUUAAAAAAAAAUUCAACAAAUCGUGAAAAUUGAUUGAAAGGGCAUCGUGGAUAUUUCUCCAUGUGUUGUGUUUGCUACCUUUGACAAACCAAAUUUCAUCAAAAUUUUUGGAUAUUUUCAUCAUUGCUUAAAACAAAACUCUUGUGGCUGAGCCCAAACAAGAAAAAAAGUAUUUAUAUUAAUACUUAAUUUACAAAUCUACCGAGAUCUUAGGUUGGUAUUCACUGUGAUUAUGGACAUUAAAUUUUUUCCUUAUAUGUAUCAAAAGAAAUUUUAGAAAAAAAAAAAAUUCAUAUUUCAAUUGUUACUUUGCACGUAUAAGUUUCAAUAGAAAUACGAAGACGUGGUACAUUUUCUCCUCCGGUGGACAAAAGAUAUGAAGUACAAAAUUGUGGUUGCUUGGGUGGGGCUUGUUACACAACUCAAACAAAAUGAUCUACCGUAUAAAAGCAUAAACAUUUCACUUUAUUUCAUUAUAAUCUUCUAAUACAGAAGUGAUUUUAUUAGGGACCACUCCAACAAGUCUUUAAUCAAAGUUCAUGUAGAACCUUUCUUAAUAUAAGGACGUUCUCCAAAAUAGUUGCCUGGUGGGUCUUAGUUGCAGCAAACAAUCCACCAUUCCCCAUUCUUGCACAACAAUCUUGCACACCCCACAUUCACUGAAGUGUUCUACACAACCUGAGUGUAGUGUCCACACUCUCCUCCAACGCAUGAGUUAGAGUCGUAGUUAUAAUAAGGCUUCUCAGACACCCACAUCUUCACUGCAUCAGCGCCAUCAAAGUCAGUAGCACCCCCUGCAGCCAGGUUCUCACCAUAAGGCCCUCCUGAGUGUUCAAGAUUGCAGUCACCAAUCAGCUUCUCACUAACAUAUUGCGAUGCGUAGUUAGCUAACUUUUUGUCCCAUGUCAUGGGCUGGACUCCAACCUCUGCCCGCGCGGCGUUGUGGGCGGUAAGGUAGUCUUGUGGGGUGUUUUGGGCAUGGGAGAGAUGCGCUAGGGCUAAGCCAAGGAGGCAUAGAAGGGCCAGUGAUGUCUUGCCCAUUUUGGCUUGGAUUCUAUGAUGGAGGACAAGAGCCUUUGAUGGUUAAGAGUAUUGACUUGUUGCAGAGAAUUUAAUGGUGCAAGGUGUUCUUUCUUGAUAUAGCUUUUAAUCAUUAUGAUAGAUAAUCCAAAGAAAUCAAUAAAAAGUGCUCAGCAAUUAAUUGUAGUGCAAUUAUAAAAUAUUAACUUAAUAGAAAAAAAAAAAGGUGGGGUGGGGGGGAAUUUACACGAGUAGGAGAUAAGGAUUGAUAUUAAUUCUCUUGAAGAUGACUACAGCAUGUUAAGAAGGGAUGAUAGUCAUCUUCACAUCUAUUUUAUUCCUUAGGCACGAUUUUUUUUUUUAAUACUGUGGUUGAUGAAUUUUGAGGAGCUCUUCAAUUUGUGAAGUUCUCAUACCCGAAUUAAUGCAUAAAUAUUUUGUUUUGAUUGUUGAUGUAAGAAAACUGGCAACAUCAACCACAAAAUAAAUUUUCAGCUGUAAUUAAUAGUUACAUUAUGUUUGUUUCCUACGGGAAGAAAAAAAUGUUUGUUAUUUUUGUAACCCUGAAAUAACUAAAAAAAAAAUACAAAUAAUAAUAAUUUUCUCAUGAUUUGUUUGUACAAAAUAAAAAAAAUAAAAAAUAAAAAAUGGUUAAACUUAUUUGUUUUUAAAUUAUUUAAUUUUUAUAUAAGAUAAGAAAAAUAGGUGAAACGAGUUUGAAGAAAUGUAUAAAAUUAAUUUAUUAACUUUAAUUUUUUUUUCUUAUUUUUUUCUUCCCAUUUUCACCUUAUUUUAUUUUUAUAUUUUUCUUAUUACAAACCAAACAAAACCUUAAGCUAGUUGAGAUGAUGGAAACUUUUAAGAAUUUACUGUGGGGUAUAUUUUUGGAAAGUAAAGCUGAAAGUCAAAUAUAAUUAAAACUACUAGAAAAAAAUUAUAAAGAUGCAAAUGACCCUCUACAUAAUAAUAAUAAUAAUAAUAAACCAAACAAAACCUUAAGCUAGUUGAGAUGAUGGAAACUUUUAAGAAUUGACUGUAGGGUAUAUUUUUGGAAAGUAAAGGUAAAAGUCAAAUAUAAUUAAAACUAUAUAAUGAAAAAGGUAAAAAAAAAUUAUAAAAUUUUUUCUUGGUUGUUUAUGGGAAUUUGAAAGAGAAGAAAAUUAAAAUGUAAGGAAUAUCCAUGAUAAGAUAAUAGGUUUAUAGUCAUUGCCAAACCACAUUUAUUCUGCAAUUAAAAGGAUUAGUAGUUGAGGUUGGUAAGGGUUUAUAGUCGUGGAUUUUUUUCUGAUAUUUUGGGUGGUUAAUGCAGGUUAAUAGGCGGUCAACGUGGGGUCGGGGCAGUCAAUAUGAUGCUAUAGUGACCGCUAUAGUGAAAGCUCAAAAAUGCCUUUUAAUUGAUGGUGUUUAUUUUUUUGGCUUUUUGCUGAAAGCAAUUUACUUUCAGAAUUUAGGUUUUUUUAAAAAAAAAUUUUAAUGACUUAUUACUGUUUUUUUAAAUUUUUGGCUAAAUGUAAAAAACUAAAAUAUUUGGCUUUUUUUAAAUAGAAAAAUGCAGUUUUUGAAACCUCCCCACAUACGAUUUUCAACCCAACGCCUGACCCUAGCCCACCCAUCCCUUGUAGCUUUCUGCAAUUGGCAUCCUCAACCCUCACCUCAUCCCCAAAGCGGUAAUUUCUUCAUUCUCAUCCUCCAUCCGAGACUACAUAGUUGGAAAGACGCUCCACUUUCAUUCGACAUUGUUGAUCUAAUCGAAGGUAACCCUCAACCCAAAUUUAUUUUGGGUUUUAGGAUUUUAAUAGAGUAACCGAGUCUCAUUUCUCAGUACUUCUCUCUCUAAAACUCUCAUUCUCUAUUUUGGUUCACAAAUGCAAGUGCUCUGUUUAGGGUUUUUGAGUUCACAUGUUGCGGGUCCUAAGAUAAUUUUAGGAUUUCUAGGCUCUAUUAAAAGAGCUAUGUGGGUGUUUUUUUUUGUUUGAGUUCAUUUUUAAGAAAAAAUUUCUAGGCUACUGAUUUUGUUUGAGAUUACAAAGAAUGUGGGUAUCGGGUAUUUGGGUUUUUUGUCUCAAUGAGACCAAAUCAGGAGUAUUCAAUGGGUGGUUGGGAGUUUAAUUUCUAUCUUUUGCAACCCUUCCCCUUUUGCAGGAAUCAACUAAAGCAUAAAAUAAUUCAUGACUUCUUGUCUGUUUAUUGAAAUAUAAGAGAUUAGGUAGAUGGAAUUCUAGGGUGGUUUUGAAACAUUACCAUGCUUUGAGUCUGCUUUGCGUGUGUCAAUGUUAUCUAACUUGGUCCUUGCCCUUCAAACGUUUGAAGGUUAAAUUUUAUCUUGGACCUUUUCUUUUCCUCCUUAAACAAUACAAACUUUGAUGUGCUUCUUGGUCCAAAUAAGAAUAUUGUGUUGGUUGAAUUUGUGUAACAUCUUUCUCUGUUCCUUUGAUGACUAUAAAAUUUCUGGAUUUUGGUUGAAUCAGUAGCUAUGCGGCUAUGCCAUGUUACAUAACCUAUUUUAUUUGGCUUGAGUUUGGACACAUGAAUUGCCCUGUUUCGGUGAUUCUAAAGAAGAAAGUUAGGGAAUUGUCUCUGCGGAGAUUGUAGUUUUAUGCCAUGGAUUUUGAUGCACAAAGGGUUGUUAUUUUGAUUGUUGAAGUUCUAUUUUGUGUUUCAUUUAGUACUUUGGAGUCCCUGGAGUACUGUUUGAAAGCUAUCUUCUGCAAUUAUCCGAUCAUUUAGUGCUUUGGAAGGGAAAGUAAUUCAUGUUCCCACAUGAGAACAAUGAAUUCUAGCUGCAUGAGAGGCCAUUUGCAUCAUGGCUGGAGUACUUCACUCCUAAGAUAGUUUUCUAGGGUGCCUUUUAAUGUUCUUUUGUGUUUUUCAUUGAUUUCAAUACAAUGGAUUCUGCUGGAAGAAAAUUUGUUUUAUCGGAUUCCAGUGGGCAUAGUUUAAUGACCAACAAUUCUGUAAUGACUGUACAUUUACACAAUGAGACUAGAGUAGUUUAGUAGCAAUUCAAUGCAUCUUGUGAGAAGUUUAGUAGCAAUUUAGUGUAGUUUGUAAUUAUUGAUUCGGAACUAAGAAGCAAUAACCCUUUUCAUAGGUUCCCUUAAGAUUUAACAACUAGACUAGAGUAGUUUGUAAUUAUUGAUUCAGAACUAAGAAGCAAGAACCCCAAACAGAGGUGGAAGUUCCAAACAUAAAAUUCUAUAUAAUUCAUCAACCAUAGCAUCUGAUGGGGUCAGUGCAACCCUUUUCAGCAAACUGGCAUAAGCCUUUACCUCCACCAUUUUCCAAAUAUUGCUGAUGGUACUCCUCUGUUCUGUAAAACCUCUUUGCUGGAAGAAUUUCAGUUACAAUGUUCUUAUCAUUCAAAGGUCCCUUAGUCCUAUGAAAAUAUUCUUAGUUAUAAAGCCAUACCCUACUAAAAACCUGAAAUCUCAGGAACACUUUCGCCAGCAUGAAUUAAGUCUGAAGCAUUUUGAUCCAAAGGGAAGUGUUCUGAUGUUAUUUGGGAAGCAACUUUCAACAGAAAAUCAAUCAAAAUGCAUAUUUACUAUAGCAACUCUUUAAACAGAGUCAUCAAGCACUAGACAUGAUUGCAAGAGUCUUUAACUCAAGAAAGCAUGAUCCUAAAACUCAAAAUCCAUUGGAACCCAAUAUGUUGGCAAAACUGCAAUCAACAGAGAUAUCUCGCUCAUCAAUCUUAAAUUCUCAACACAUUUUCCAACAACCAAACAGUUAAAACCAAACCCUUUUCUUUAAUCAAGAAAAUAAAAACACCCUUUUUUUUAUAAGUAAUUUCAUCGUUUUUUUACAUUUCACCUUUUUUAUUCUCUAUUUAUUGUUGGGUCUUGCACUCAUCCUUUAUUGUCAAAUGUGGUUUUGUUCCUCGGCAGCGUGAUUGAGCUGCGUGGUUGGCACAUCCGAAGGAUUCUUUAGUUGACACAGUUGCUAAGAAUCUUUUGGAUCGAUUGGAGGUACUAGUUUACUUUGGAAUUCAAGUUUUUUAGUGCCCAUCUACACUAAAUUGCUACUAAACUUCUCACAAGAUGCAUUGAAUUGCUUAGUAUCAUUUUUUUUUCCUGUAUCAAAAGGAAAAAAGACAUAAAAGAAGCUGCAUAGGUAUUAUGGAAACUGCAUAUUGCUAACAUUUUCAGUUUUUUUUUUUUUUUUUUUUUAAGGAAAAGUAUAUCUUGAGAAUGGAACCAGUGGCUUUGAGCACUACUUUGAUGAUAUAUUUUAAGCAAAUGGAGAUUAAUGUUUUCUAGAACUUUUUUUUUUAUAGGCAAUGCUUUUCAGAACACAAAUUAUAUUAUUGUCCAAUUUGAUGAACGGUUGUCUUCCACUGUUAUACUUUGAGAUAUCACUUCCUAGGAAACACUUCAUCCAUCUCUUGCUCUUUUUGAUGUACAGAAAUGCACGUGCACAUGUAUGUGAGCAUUCAUGUAGACAUGUGUUGGCAUAAAAAGUAGUGAAUAGGCUGGGUGUAAAUGAAUAUGCUAAAAUAAGAAAUAAGAGCCAAUGAGAUAUAAUCAAUGAAAUGUAAAUAGAGUUUAGCCUCAAAUUCACAUAAGAAGGUUACACUAAGUAUAAAGCAAGCCAUACUCAAACUUUAUAUUCAUGAAGAUUUUUAUUUUAUUUUAUUUUAUUGUCUCUAAUUGAAAAUUGAAAAUUAAUCAUUAAUGUUGGUUGGUUUUUUGUAGAGUAAUGAGUCAAAAUGUUGAGAUUAGUAGGGCAAAUUGAACUGACCCCAUCGAAAGAAAACACUUUAUUGAUCUUUGUCUUCAAGAGGCAAACAAAGGCUUUAGAUCAGGUGGAGGUUUAAAGUCUAGUGUUUGGCCUCGAAUUGUUGAAGAGUUGGAGAAGUUACUUGGAAAACGUUAUACUUUAAAACAACUUAAAAAUGGGUGGGAUUACAUGAAAAGACAAUAUCUCAUUUGGAGUAAAAUGAUGACUAUGACAGGACAUGGUUACAACUCUAUAACCAAAACUUUUGAUUGGCCAGCUAAAAAAUGGGAAAAAUAUCUACAGGUAGUUUUUUUAUGGAUUUGAGUGAAUUUUAAAAAUAAUUGUCUUAUAUAUGUAUACAUGACUAAUUUGUUGUUUAUCUUAUAAAAUAUAGAUAUCCAGAAGCUAAACAAUUCUAUUUUAAACCAUUAGCAAAUGUGGAAGAAUUAGAGGCAUUGUUUGGAGGAGUGUUAGCUACUAGGUCUAAAAAUUGGAGCUCUGGAGGAGUGAUAGCUUCUGGGGCUGAGGAAUCAUCAACACAUUCUACAUCUAUGCCUAGCGAAACUUCAAUUAGUUUAGAAGAAGAUGAGGAUUUGCCAAGAAAUACUAAUGAUGAAGCAGAAGGUUCUAAGAAAAAACAAAAGAAAGGAAAGAAAGAGCAAACUCAAGAAGAAAUGAAUAGAAUAAUGAAUGUGUUGGAGAAUUUUGAAGGACCCUAAGUCAAAGAAUUUUGAAGAGGCUCUUGACUUAUGAGGAUCCAUUAUACUAUGUAGCAAUUAAUUCAUUUUGCAAGAAGAAAGAGUAUAGAGAGGUGUGGAUGGAGAUGGAAAGUGACGAAGAGCGAAUGGGAUGGAUUCAAAGCUUGCGAAAAUAACUUUUUGAAUAUUUGUUUUAGAUUUGUGGAAUGCAUAGGGUAUAUGACUUAUAUGAUGAUUUUAAUUUGGUACAUUUGGUUUGUUUGUUUUGGAUAUUUGAUACAUUUAAACUUUUCCAAUUAUAAAGACUUUCUCUCUACAUUUUAUUGAUAUUUGUUUUGGAUAUUUGUUACUCAUACAUUGUUAUAACUAUUUGAUUAUAUUGUUAUGCUUUUAUUUCAUAACUAUUGUUUUUUUAUAAUAGAUAUUCUUAUGGAGAAUCCUUCACAUCACUCAAAUAGUUCAAGUUCAUCAUCAUCAAGUGAAGAUGAAGAUACAAAGUUAGAAGUGACAAGAAUUUUUUUUAAAAAAAAGAUUGGUUGUGUUGUUGCUCAAAUUAUUAAGUGACUCAUCCAUUAAUAAGGAACGAGUCUCUACUUCAUCAUUUAUAGGUUCACUUUUCAUUCAAGAGCUUUUAAAUGGUUCAUCUAGCACAUGUUAUGAACUAAUGCGGAUGGAAAAACAUGGAUUUAUUUCUUUAUGUCACAUGUUUCGAGAAAAAGGAUGGCUUGUUGACAGUAAACAUUUGAAUGUUGAAGAAAAAAUGGUCAUGUUUCUUAUGACUAUUAGUCAUAAUCUUCGGAAUCGAUUGAUUAAGAAUAGAUUCCAACACUCAAGUCAAACAAUUCACAAAUACUUCCAUGAGGUUUUAGUGGCCAUGGUGAAUUUCUCAAAAGAGAUGAUUACUCUUCCAUUAUUCAAUGAUAGUUCAAAUGGUAUCUCCAAUCGUCGGCUAAGACAAAUUUUUAAGGUAUAUUAUUUUUAUUUCUAAUUAUUCAUAUCAUAUUUGUAUUAUUCUCAUAUAAAAAUAAUUAUUUAUAUUUUAAGGAAUUAUUACCAUGUAGAAUGUUGUUGGUGCAAUUGAUGGAACUCUUAUCCAUGCAUGUAUUCCUACUAAUCAACAAGUACCUUAUCGAGGUCGUGGGAAAGGAGAAUGUUUUCAAAAUGUUAUGGCAGUUUGUGAUUUUGACAUUAUAUUUAGGUUUGUUGUUGUUGGAUGGGAAGGAACAACUCAUGAUUCAAGAGUCUUGACAGAAACUAUCCAUUACCCGCAACAUAAUUUUCCAAUGGCCCCAUCAGGUAAAUAUUUUAUUUUCAUUUUAUUUAAUAUAAUUUGUAUUUAUUCAUUAUAAUAAUAAACUCAAUCCUUUUUUUCUUCAGAAAAAUAUUAUUUAGUAGAUGCAGCAUACACACACACUCGAGGUUUUAUGGCACCAUAUCGUAAUGUGCGCUAAUAAUUGGUUGAGUGAUUUUCGUAGUGGUGGUAAAGCUGUAGGAAAAAAGGAGAUAUUCAACCAAUGCCAUACAAGAUUAAGAAAUGCCAUUGAAUGUGCUUUUGGUAUUGGGCGCAUUUCCCAGUAUUGAAGAGAAUGACACCUUAUUCGUUUACUACUCAAACAAAAAUUGUCAUGACAUGCUUCUCCAUUCACAAUUUUCUUCGACAAAUCUCAGUUGUGGAUAGAUUAUUUUCUAAAUAUGGCAAUGAAGUGGAAUUGGAAAGUGUUUAUGCAAAUCAAAAUCAAAACUCAACUACAAGCAGUUUUUUUGCAGCAUCUAAUCAAGAAUUCAUGCAACAAUUCUGAGACCAAAUCGCAAAUGAACUCUUUCAAGUGUUUAGUUAACUUGUCAUUUUUAGCUUUUUACCAUUGUAAGAAAUGCAAUGUUUAGAUAUUAGCAUAAAAUGUGAUGUCUUCGAAUAUUUGAAAAUAUGUACUUGAAUUGUUAUGUUUUUUCUUUAAUUUGAUUUAGGUUUUGUCAAUUCAUUAUUUUUCAUAUUAUUAAGUUUAAAUAUUUUAUUUUAAUUAUAUAAAAAAUAAAUAUAUUAAUUAUUUUUUGUAAGAAUGAUAAUGAUAUAUUAUUUAUUAUAACAAUUUUAUUAUUUUGAACUAUUUAGAAAUAAGUUAAAUUAUAUUUUUUUAAUACAUUAAAAUAUUAAGAUUUAGUUUUUAGUAUAUAAAAAAACAAACAACUUAAUACUUAAUAGAAAUAAAAUAUUAAAAAAAACAAACAACUUAAUACUUAAUACUAUUAAGUAUUAUUUAGUAUUAAGUUAAAAAUAAGUUCUAUUUAGAAUUAAGCAAAAAAAAAACAAACGCCACCUUAGUCUAAAGCUUAAAGAUAUUGCACCAAACAUAUAUAUAUUCAAAGUCAUCAUAUAAAUAAAAUAUUAAAAGGAUAUAUGAUUAAAUGAAAAAGUUUCAUUUAAUUGAUUACCAAAAAUGUAAAAACUAUUAUAAUAAAUUUCUUCAUAGUGUUUUUAAUAUCAUUAAUAGAUUAAUUAAAUAUUAAAAAAUUGUUCAUAUAUCACAAUUUAUUUUAUAUCAUUUAAUACAAUUGAAUUAAAUGGAUCAUAAUUUUAAUAUUAAAUAUAUUUUAAAAUUAGGUAUAUUAUAAUCAAAUAUCACAAUAUUAUUAUGAAAUAAUAUUUUAUGUAAUUUAAUAAUAAAUGUGCACUUAUAAAAUUCAUAUUUUUUAUUGACACAUACAAUAUUAUUAUCAAAUAUGAUAAAUCAUAUUAUAUAUAUAUAUAUAUAUAUAUAUAUCAAAAUCUUCAACAAAACAAUUUUUAAAUGUUUAUUAUACUUUUAAUUACAUUUUUAUGAAGUUUUCUUACAUUUCCAUGAAUUUUCAUCAAUUUUAGGCCCACCGAUAUUUUUUUUCAAAAUAUCCACCAAUAUAUCUCCGAUAUAUCCGUAAAAUUGAAGUACCAAUAUAUCCGUGAUUAUUGAUAUUUUCAUCCUUAGUGAUGAGUGCUACUAAAAGUUCUUUUAGCCAAUGGUAGAUUUUGACCCCUACUAAAAGUUGAGAUAAAAAUAAGGGAGUUUGAUAAGUUGUUUUGAAAAACAAUUUAAAAGUCAAAGAUAAAAAAAAAUAAAAAAACUUGUUAAAUAAAUUGUUUUUGAGAGUAACUUUUCUAUUUUGAUUUUAUAAAAAUAUUGUAAAUAUAAUUUAUUAAUAUUAAUUAAAUUUAAUUCAAGUCUUUCUAAAAAUGAAAUUAGUUUUUUUAAUUAUAAAUAGAUUUAAAAAGAAAUAAUUUUUAGAAAAACAUGAACAAUAAUAAUAUUAUAAUAAAAUAAAAAUAUUUUUAUUAAAAAAAACUAUUUUCGUAUAUGUUAAAAAAUUAUAGAUAUUAACAUCUUCACGAAAAUAUAAUUGAUUUCUUUUCUAUUAAAAAUGAAUAAUAAUAAUAAUUGUUAAUAAUUAUAAGUUUAUAUAGUAAAUUUAGUUGACACAUGCACUUCCAUUCAUCACUUAUUAUGAAGAAAAGUCAUAAACAACCUAAAAAAACUCCAAAUAUUACAAUUUCUAAAUGAGCCUGAUACAAUUCAAAUUUGAUUGAAGCAUUUAGAACUUGUUUUGAUGUGUUUUGAAGGUUAAAACUCGAUCACCAAUGGCUGAGUUUGAAACUAGAGUGAGUUUAAAAUCAAUUUCAAACUCGUAAGUGUGGGAAAAUGCUUAAUUUUGAAAUAAAAAAAGUUGUGAGUCCAAUGCUUUAAAUGAUGUGCAAACCAUAUCUAAAACGAGGAAGUUACUUGCAUUUGAAGUGAACUAGGUAGAAAAGAAUGUUGAGUUCUUGAUACCUUGAAUUUGAAAUAAUUUUUGGCCAUUUAGAACUCAGAGGAAUGCAAGGAUGCUUUGGCAAAGGCUAAGUUCAAACCCCUUUACCUAUUUCAAACAAAAGACGCGCAUUUUAGACCCGAAAACAUGGUGAAAUGGCUUGGGCAAUAAGUGAGUUAGAAAUUCAUAAUGAAUUUCGAACUCGCUUGAAUUUUGAAUUGAGCUUUUCCUAUACUUAUGAGUUCAAAAUUAACUUUGAACUUGCUCGAAAUACAAACUCAGUCAUUGAUGAUUGAGUUUUGAGCUCCAAAACACGUUAAAACGAGUUUUAAAUGCCUUCAUCCAAGUCAAAAUGCAUGAUACUCAUUUAGAACUCAUAAUAUUUGGAGUCUUUUAAGUUGUUGAUGACUUUUAUUUGUAAUAAGUGGCCAAUGGAAGUGUGCCACAUGUUAGGUUAUUGAAUUUAUUAUAUAAACUCUUUUAGUUUUAAGAAUGGAGGAUGAGAGAGGGAACAUAGAGAGGGAUUGAUCUCUCUUGUUGAAAGUCUUUAAUAAAGUUUGAGGUUUUUUUUUCUUUCUUUUUCCAUCUUUUUAUUUUAUUUCUUAGUAGCCAAACAUGGGUUGUGAGGAGAAAUCCUCCACCAUAUUUGGCUAACUUGAUUGAUCCAGAGAUGCUAGCAUGAAGGUGAAAAAUCCAAAGAAGAGUAGUAAGAAACGAUAAUGUAUGAAAUGGUUUGAUUAUGCUUACAAGUUUUAAUUGGUAGAAAUAAAUCUUCUAUGUUAGUUCCCCUAGAUAAAUUACAAAGCAUUCUUAUCAAGAGACUAGUGAUUCUUGGGAAUACCUUGAUCACUAAUUACUAUAACUUAAUCUUAUUAUUAGCGAAUUUAAUGAUCAAAUCUACAGAGAUAGAUAUAGGCUUUUUGAUUGAAUAAAAUUGAAAAUCAAAAUUAACCAUCAUUUUUUAAUUAGUUUAAGAGAUUUGUGUUUCAAAAAUAAAAAUUUAAUGAGAUUAAUGAAUGGUUUGCAUUACAAUUUAUGCAUCUUUGGUCCUAUCAUUGUGAGUUGUUUUAGGAAAUGAUAUCGUAGAUUAUUACCCGAUACUAGUGAUUCUUUGUAACUCCUGAUCAUUAAUUAUUUUUAUCUAUCCUAUCAUUAUCUGCCUCAAAAUAAAGCUAAAAGGAGUAAUAAGGGUUUAAAAACCUAACCUUGAACUAGUAAUCAAUCUCAUUCACUUGAUGGUUUUAGAAAUCUAUUUCAAAAAGGAAAAAUCUAAGUUUUGGAUGCUAUAUUGAUCUUACAAUUAAAUUUAGCCAUGGAUUCACUUUGAUCCUAAAACUUAGGUUUUGUAAUGCUCUCUCUCUAAGGAUUUGACACUAGAUUGUGAAACUCUCUAGGACAUUCUUUCUUUUGUUUUAUUUUAUUUUAUUUUAUUUCACUAAAUAUUUUAAGAAAUCCUUAUUCAUAUUUUAUCAUUAUUUAUUUAAUUUGAUGUUUCAUUAACUUUAGUAAAUAAUUAACCAUUCUAACCUAAAAACAAUCGAACACAUUAGAGUUGAUCCUAGAAGAUGAUAACAUAAAUACUAUAAAACUGUGGUAACUAUAUCUAGCUUUUCUUGGGCAAAGUUACCACAUAUUUACACUUAAGUAUUUUUUUUACAAUAGAAAUUUUCAGUUAGUUAUCUAGGGAGAAAGCUCCCCCUCAAUAGGUGCAUUGAAUAUUAAGUUAAUUAGACUCAAAACUAACUGGACAAAAAUACUUAAAUUAAAUGAAAUGAUCAUUCCAAAAUUAGUUAAGUAUAGACCAAUGCUAGCUAAGAAGAUCAAGAAUCCCAUGAAUAGCAUGUAUAAUCCAUGAGAAUCAUAUAUAAGCCAUAUAUGCAUAUAUCAAGUAGUAGUGAAUGGAGUACAUGGAAAUGGUAAAAACAAAGCACAUCCGACAUAAUAGCAAAAUAUGAUGUCUAAAAUACAACAUCUAGAGUAACAUCAAACAUGUCCAGAAUGCCUAUAUGAGAAUAUCUCCCCGUUUGGUAACAUAAAGUAUAAAGGAGAAAUCAUUGCAACUCAAAAUCAAGGUUAGGAAUGUGGAGGUAGAAAGACCAAACGAAGAUGGUUCAUCAUCUGAUCGUAUUAAGCCUAAAGAUGAGUAGUAAAAAGUACCUGACACUAAUCUAACUGAAUAGUUAAAGUCGUCUCAUACUGAUCCAUAUGGUCCUUAAUCAAAUAGAAACAAGUACUAUUCAUGAGUAGCUCCUUUACCUAAGUACUGAGCGAACUAAUUUGUGCUGAUAUAUCUACCUAGAGUUACUAAUUAACUAAUGGAGAUGAGUGUGGUGUAGUAAACAUAACAACUGAAGCCGAACACAUCUUAGUGAAGACAAGAUUAGAAUGGAAUGUCUUCUUAGUAAGUAUUGUUGGCUCAUGUUGAAAGGUUUAAAAGGUUGCUUUUGGCUACUCGGUAUGGAAAGGCUCCUCAAUCUACAUCUCCUUAGUCCCAUUGCCCUAUGAGAACUCUUUACCCUUCAUAUCAAGUUCCUUGAUUUCCUCCUCAGCAUAGUCCUUACAAACCUUCUGUCCACCCCUCUUGUGAACCCAGGACCCAUCAAUAAGGUGCUCAAAGUGCAUAUGACCUAUGGAUUUCACAUUGUAAAUAUCAUAUGCUCUAAGAGGUUUAAUGUCAUUCGUAGUCCUUAAAUCCACAUUGAAUGCCUUCAAAAUCUAAGUCAAUAGGCAUCCAUAGUAAAGUAUCUUAGACUUAAUCUCACAACACUUCAUUAUGUGCUAAAGAAUAAUGAAUCCAAGAUUGAUUCUCUUAUCAACUAGGAUGGAAUCAAUCAGAAAAGCUCAUAAUAGGAUACCUCAUCUUGAUGUCCUCCUUUAAGAAUAAAUAUAUGACUAAUCAUGUGAUCUAGGACUCGACUAAUCAAUGUGAGAACAUGAACAUGAGGCUUGGUAGUUGUAGUGUCAAAUAGAAGAUUACAUAACUUUUUUUUCACAAAUCAGAGGGUUGGUCGAGUCCAUCAACUCCUCUUGUAUUUGAAUGUUGUGGUCGUUUGGGCGAAUGUACUAUAAGGCUAGGGUGUACACCUUUCCUGACAGCAAUUGCUUUUAGGAGAGCUAGUAGCAUCUGAAGUCCUAUAAGUGGUAUCAGAGUUAAGCCUCUUGUUUAAGACUUAACCGUUUAAGAGGAAACGACUAAUUUAUCAAGUUCAUCUCAUAUUGAAAGUUUUGCAACCAAUAGACCUCCAUUUUUUUUAUAGGAACUAAUUAUUCCUAUUGGAAAAAAAAUGAUUUGGUUUUUAAAAUCUACUAAUCUUGAUCUAUGGGAUAUCAUUGAAGAUGGUCCUCACAUUCCUUCAAAAUUAUAAAAUGGAGUGAUGGUUCCAAAACCUAAGCAAGAAUGAGGUGAACUUGAUAAAAAAAAAAUUCAAUUAAAUGCCAAAUAUGUUUAUAUCUUUCAUUGUGCUACUAAUAGAAAUGAAUUUAAUCAUGUUUGACAAUGUAAAUUGACUAAAGAAAUUUGGAGACUAUUGGAAAUCACUCAUGAGGGAACCAACCAAGUUAAAGAGUUUAGAAUCAACAUCAUUGUGCAUUAUUCUAUGAAGGAUUUUGAAUCUAUUAUAGAGAUGUUUUCUAGGUUCAUGGUGAUUGUGAAGGAACUUUAAGCCUUGGGAAAGACCUACACCGAAGUAGAGAAAAUCAUGAAGAACUUAAGGUCUUUACCAAAGAAAUGGAAAACAAAAGUAAUGGCUAUUCAAGAAGCGACAAGAAUGGGAAUAUAUAUAUAUAUAUAUAAUAGAGAACAUAGCUCUCAAAGCUACAACCAAGGAAGAAGAAGAAGUUGAAGAAGAAAAACAAAGUGAAGAAGGUGAAAAGUUAGCCCUCAUCACAAGAAAGUCUAACAAGUUCAUGAGGGGUGAAAGGUUUAGAGGAAGAAGGUUCACUUCCAGAAGAGACUCUUCUAAAAAGGAAUCUUCAUCCCAUGGUGACAAUGAGAGAUGGGAGGAGAAAAGAGACUUGGUAUUCUUCAUGUGCAAGAAACUGGGACACUUUAAAUAUGAUUGUCUUUUCUACAAAAGUGAAGCCAAAAGGAGAAAGAAGAAGGCAAUGAUGACCACUUGGAGUGAAAGUGAAGAUGAAUCAUUCGAAGAAAUGAGAAAAAAGUGGCAAACAUAUGUUUCAUGGCAAUAGAUGAACUUGAUGAGGUAAACUCUAACAUUAGCUAUGAGGGUAUACAUUAUGCUUUUGAAGAAAGUUCAACAACUUGAAAAAGAACUUGGAGAAGUAAACGGAAAAUUUUCAAAUGUUUAAGAUUCUAAAACUUGUCUUGAAAAAAAGAAUGAGAUUUUAAGAAAGAAAAAUGAAUGGUUGACCUCCUCUCUUUCAAUUUUUUCUUGUGGACAAGAAUAUUUUGAAAUGAUCCUAACUAACCAAAAAUGUAUUUUGACAAACAAGGGUUAUGAUUCAAAUCUUCAAAAAAUCAAAAGUGUUUUAAGAACUAUUUUGUAAAGGAAUCCACAAGUGUCAAUCCUUCCACCACUUGAAACUUUUGUGGAAAAGAAUGACACAUUAGUAGCACACGCCUUUUAAGAAAUGGUUCUCAAAAGAAUUUACAUGCAAAAGCUAAAAAGAAUUGGGUUGAAAAAUUCAAGGUCACUAACCCUCAAGGACCUAAGAAGACAUGGGUACCUAAAUCAACUUGAGUUAUGUGUUUUAGAGUUCAAAGAAGCAUAAGUGGUUCUUGGAUAGUGGAUGCUCAAGACACAUGACCGGAGAUGAAUCCAAGUUUGCUUUUCUUUCAAAGAAAAAAUGAGGAUAUGUUUGUUACCUUUGGAGACAAUGAAAAAGGAAAAAUCAUUGGUCAAGGCAACAUUGGUAAUGACACAACCUCAUUGAAAAUGUUUUACUAGUAGAUGUUUUAAAACAUAAUCUUUUAAUCAUUAGUCAACUUUGUGACAAAGGUUUUAAAGGGAUUUUUGAAGCAUCUCAUUGCAUUACAAAGGAUAUUCAAAAUGACAAUAAUCUUCAUGGGCCAUAGAUGUGAUAAUGUUUACACUAUAAAUAUUUCAAAAUAUGAUGGUCAUGAUGUUUUUCAAGCAUGCAUGAUCAAAGUUGGUUGUGACAUAGGAGAUUGGGACAUGCUAACAUGGACCUCAUUUCCCAACUCAAUAAAAAUAAAUUUGUUAGAGGUCGUCUCAAAAUUAUUUUCAAAAAGAUAAAAGCUUGUGAAGCUUGUCAACUGGGAAAACAAAUAAAAAACUCUUUUAAAAACAAAAACUUCAUUUCCAUAACUAGACAACUUGAGUUAUUGCAUAUGGAUUUAUUUGGUCCCUCUAAGACACCAAGUCUUGGAGAAAAGUCUUAUGGUUAUGUUAUUGUCAAGUGGGCACAUAGCUUGAUGGUCAUUAGUAGAGUGCUACAUCAUAUGUUAUGCUUCAUUUUCCUACCAUGGGGUGGGCACCGAGAUGAGGUUUCCUAUUACAAGGCAUUCCUUAUAGAUUCCAUUUUGACUAGGAGACAAAUCCAUUUAGGAUAUCUGAUGAUGAUGCACAUGAUUGCAUGUUGCGAGAACACAACUCGAGUAUUCCCCUAUGGUCGCUACCUUUCUUGAGUAUUCAAGGAUAAAGGCAUUAACCUUAGUAAAGAGACAGAAUUUGAGGUCCCUAAUACAUAUGAGACAUUGAUGAUCAGUUUAUGGGGGGGAUGACAUUUGAGAAGGCUCCAGAUGGUUCUUGGAUUAGAAAAGCAGAAAGAACACAACCACGGGGAUAGGGAUAGACACACUUUGGAGUUGAGGAAGAGACAGAGAUUAGAUAGAUGGAGGGUGGAGUAAACCCUCAGGGUGGCAUAGACCUUCAGAGUGGCCACCAGCAGAAAGGGCCUGAGCUUGAUAUUCCCCCACUUCAGACAGAGAUUCUUUCACAGACUGAGGGUUUUCAAUUUGAGUCCACUUUCUUUGAGCCGAUUAUGACAUAGCAUACUUUUAUAGAGGGGCCAUCUACUUAGUCAUCAUACAUCGAACCCUCCUUAUUUGGACUAGUAUUCAUCGAGCCCACCUAUAUUGAGAUACUACCUCCUCAGACACCUCCUGCUCCUAACCAUGUUCCUUAGAUAGAUUUAUCGGCUCAAAUUAACUCCCUUAGUACUCGUAUGGAGGAGCUUGUAGUGGUCAAUGAUACACAAUUUUACUUUAUGGAGGAUAUAAUGGACUAGUAUCAGAUUGGGUUCACUACUCAGUUUGAGUAUCUCUAGUAGAGGAUUGAUCACAUGGAGCAGAGGAUUGAUCACAUUGAGGAUCACAUGGAGCAUCAGCAUAAGGAGAUGAUGACCUACUUGCAUUUCGUGUUUCCACAUCCAUCUCCUCAACCUUGAUGACUAGUUGGGAACCCCCUUAUUCUUUUUUUAUGUUGCCAAAGAGUGAGAUAGUUUAGGAUCUAGGAAGAUCUAGGAAGGUAGAUAUAGAAGACUCAUAAUCAUACAUGCAUAUCAUUUUUUUGUUUGGAUCAUAUAUUGCUUAUCUCUAAUUACUUUAGCUUGUUGGACAUAUAAUGUUCUGACUGAUACAUUUGACAUGAAAUAUGAUAUGCUUAUAUAUUUGAUGACUUACAUUAGAUGUUCCUUGUUGCAAUACUUUCUAACAUGUCUUGAUCAUCGUGUUUUUAAUUUCUUAAAUAUUGAUUGUUGGUCCAUGAUUGGUUUGAGGGGAGAUUAUUUUUUUCCUAGAUAACCAAGGUUUUUCAUCACAAAAAAUAAGAGAUUGUUAGCCCAAGGAUUCUCAUAAUCAUGUUUUGAUGAUAACAAACCAUGAUUAAGUUGCUAAUUGGUUUAAAUUAUAAAGAAUUUUAGAUAUUAGUUUGAAAAUUCAUCAAAUGACCCAAUGGAUGUAAGAUCAAGGAAAUUGGAAGACCUUUAAUCAUAAAAAAAAACAUAUGUAGGAUGAAUGCAUUGUUGCACUUAGGAUUUUCAUAUUUUUUUCAUGCAUCUUUAAAAACUCAGUUUAUGCAUUAAAGUUACAUUUCCAUCAAAACUCGAGUUUUACCAAAUGAACCUUAGGCAAAUCAUUUCAAAAUUGACAUAAUAAUUAACCUAAAGACCUUGAUUAAGUGUUAGAAGAGAAAAUAAUAGAAAAAUAUAGGUUUUUGGGCCAAAAAUGGUGAACCAGUUGAGGUACUAGCCAAUCGACUCAAUUGGCUAGGGUACUGGUUGACCGGUUACACCUAUCCGGUCGAGGUCCGGUUGAGAAAUACAAAAAAUCUUUUCUCUAUUCCAGAAUGCUUGUUUAACCGGUCAAAGUUUAACCUCAAUUGGUCAAGGUUGAACCUCAACCGAUCGAGGGGCGGUCAAACGGCGAUCGAGGUCCAACGGUCACCUACCAAGCAUUAAAUGCUAACGACUAGUCAACCGGUUGAAUCGAAACUCGAUUGGACGAACCCCUAAUGACUAGUUUGGCAUUUUUCCUCUAUAAAAAGGCUCAAAUCUUCAUUAUUUCAAGAGCUUAACCUUCCUAAACAUUUCUUGAAUAUAUUUGAGCCUCAUGAGAGUGUUUUUGAGUGCACAAUUGUUCUAAAACUUGCAUAUCAUUAGUGCACCAUUCAAUCCUAAUUUUUCUUGUACAUUUGAGCCUAAAGUUUUGCAUUGGGAUUUUAUGAGAUUAUUUCUUCAUUUGUAAAUCUUUGAAAGGAAAAAUCUAAGUGUGAGGUAUCACUUAAGGGGCUAUUCAAGAGUGAGGUAUCUCUUGAAGAUUGUAAAGGGUGCUUGGAGCCUAAAGUCCAAGAGGGUGGAUUGGAACCAUAAUCCAAUUGUAUUGCUUGAAAGCUUGGUUUGGAAGCCUUGAAUUAGUGGAACCUCAAGCUUAGGAUUGAAGGUAGAGGAGAGUGGAUGUAAGCUGGGUUGCAUCGAACUACUAUAAAAUUUUGUGUUUGCAUUCUCUUUUCCCUACUCUUUUACUUUAUAUGCAAUUUGUCUUUAUAUUAUUUUAUUAUAUAUUUGAAUAUAAUUAUCUCUUGUAUUUACAUAAUUUAAAUUUGUAAAAAAAAAAACCAUCAACCUAUUCACCCCCCCUCUAAGGUGAUUAUUUUAGGUUAGAUUAGCCCAAUUUUUAUAACACCUUUGUAUAACUUUACCAACAUCAAAGUAAUCUUGGCUCAACCACCCUUUCGUCUUAAAGAGACAAUGUAGCUUUAUAUGAACUCCUUUGACUAGUGAAAUGAUUGGGCCACCCAUCUCAUAUCGCAUGUUUGAAUAUAACAUGUAUACCAAGGUCAGGCAAAAAAACUCUCAACAAGUCACCACAGAUAGCUAUCACAUCCUGGCGAAUAACUCCUCAAAUUGAAAAUAUGAUAGUUAGCCAAAAUAAAUAUUACAACUCGGAACCACCAUCUAGGCUGCAAACAAAUGAGUGUAUCAUUGGUAGUACUCCUCCAUGGAUGCUAAGCUCUAAGUGUUAAAUCAAGCUUUUCUCCUAGCCUCAACCUUAAAACUCUCUAUAUAUAGGACACUUGCCUUAGACCUUUGAUGUUGUAGUAACUUUCUGGGGAGCCAUGACACUUUAGUACAUUCACAAGAAUAAGGGGAAAAGUCCAAGAAAGUGAAAAAAAAAAAACAAAGGGAAAAGUGGAAAACGACCACAGUUCAAGAAAUGAAAGGUAAAAACAUAGAGUUCCAAGGAAAUAUCUCUCAAAAUGGCCUACAUAAGAGUUUUAGAGAAACCUUAAAGAGAGAAAUUAGUUUAGACCCUUAGGGUUCAGACCCUCUGCUGGUUGAGCAAUUGGUUCAACUGGUCCUUAAUCGAUUGAGGCUUUACCUUAACCAACUACACCACAACUAUUGUAUAUUAAGGGUGCACAAAGUGCGUCAUGAUGAGUCAAUGCCCAAUUGGCUCAACUAGUUCAUUGGGUCCUCAAUUGGUUGCAAUGUGAAGUGCUUAAGAGACUCAAUUUGAGGUAUGGAACCUUUAGAAACUUGUGUAAACCUUCUUAAAGAUAAGUUUAAAAUGAAUUUGGCUUAAGGUUUUAAUUUAAAACAAAAAUUUAUCCAAUGCUUUGGUAAAAAUGAUCAUUUUAAGUCUAAGGAAGGAUGAAAUUGAAUUUUUAAGUGCAUGAAAAUGAUUUAGACAUUUGAAAGUUGAGUUUAGGUUUGGGUAUUGAUCUUCUUCCAUUAUUCUUUGGGUUUUCUUUGAAUUUUUGUAAGUAAACCUGAAAACUUAAUUUGAUCUAAAUCAUUAGUAACUUUAGUCUUAUUUUGUAAUCGCCAAAAUUCAAUUAGAAUAACCUUUGAGCUAACACCUAUGGUGAUAGCAAAGACAAAGUUAUCUUGCUUAUGGAUAUAUAAAUGACCUUGAUAAAAGGGCAUUUGCAUGUUGUAAAAAGGUAGUAGCAACCAAGGGUCUUUGAAUGAGUCAAGGGACAAGUGACAAAUGACUAAAACUUUCAAAUAUGCUAAAGCCAUUUGAAACUAAAACUUAAGUUUCAAUUUAAAAGAGUUUGAAUUUGAAUUGAACGUUUGUUAUGAACAAACAGACAUUGUCACCAAGGUUUGUUGAAAUAGGCUUUCACUCACCCCUAAGGCAAGAUGGGUCUCCGUGCACUAGCAUUCCCACUUAGCUUGAGCGAGGUGUUAAUGAAGAUAAUCUUAGUAUUCACGAAAGAACAUGAUUGACAAAUCAUACCAACUCAAUAACCACAUUUAUCGACAAUUCAACCAAGAUUAUAAAAAACAAUUCAAUGUAGCAUGUGCUAAUUCUAUUCUCUUUACUGUUGUUAUCAUGAUAUGUAUUCAAUGUAUUUUCAUAAUUUUCCUUUUAGUACAAGAACUUGUUUGUUUAUACAAAUAAGAUUGUACAUUCUUGAUAAUAUAAUUUAGAGCUUCCAUAACCAAAUUCUGAAAAAACUUUUCAUUAUUUCGUGUUAUGAUGGAUUACUGCAAAACUAACUUAUAUUUUAAUAUUUUUUCUAGUUUUUUUUUUCCUUUUUUUUUAAUAAUUUGGUCCAUUAUGUUUUAUACUUUUAAAUUUUCAUGUUAAAAAUUGUUUUAUAACUUGUUUGAUUUAUUUUAACCAAAAAGUUAAAUUCUAAAACCCCUUUACAAAAAAUGUAUGUUUGAUUUUUUUUCCUAUUUAGAAUGUAAGAGCAUUUAAAUAUUAAAUCAUCUUUUUAAGAGCACUUAACAAAAGUAUGUUUUUUCAACUUGAAUAAAGCUUUGAUAUUCCAAUCAACUUCUAUCACAUUUUAAGAUUGGCCAUAAGGAACGUAGUGUUCUUCUAGGUAAGUUGAUUGUGUAAAAUGGUUGCAUACAUACGAGACUUUAAUUUCGUAUUGAAGAUUUUUUUUUUUUUUAAUGUGAUUUAGGUUUAUUUGGAAAUAUUUUUUAAAACAAUUUUGAAAAAAAAAUGAUUAUUGAAAAUAGUUUUCAAAAAAGGUAUAUGGUAUUUUUUUUUUUAGAAUAAAAGUACUGUAGACCUAUUUUUUUUUUUUUAGUUUUGGUUUUCUUGAUAUAUUUAUUUUUUUUAGUCUUUCCCGCCACUUUGGGGAGCACCCGGAAGAAGACAUUUGGAUUGGGGGACCGGCUUCUAAAAAACUCCAUGCAUGAGGCGCGUGGCUGUGGAGAGGACUACAGCCAUGGUGGUGGUUGGGACUACACGGAUGCUGAAUAGGGAACAGGAGAGCAGGUGCUAGCUUUCCGGAUCGGGAGAGGGAGAAAGGGCAGGAAGGAGGCUGGGGGGGAGAAAGUCUAGCGAUGGGGGGGUAUAUUUUUUUAGAGAGAAAAGCAGGAGAGAAGAGGCAUUUCAGGGAGGGGGGGAAGAGAAGAGACUUCCAGAUCAGAGCUACAUUCUUCCUGCUUCUCUUAGCGGCGGUCCAGUCGUGGGUCCCGGUGGCUGGAGUCGGACUUCCCAGAUGUCGAAAAUGUAUGUUACACUUGAUGUAUUUAUCUCAUUCAUUUUAUUAAUUUAUUGGUUUUGAUUGUAUGAUUAAUAUGUUUAUGUUUUCAGUUUUUAUGCUCUUAAUAUUUAAGCCUAUAUUUUAAUUUUUUUAGAUAUUUAAGGGGUGGGAAAAUUGGUUUUGUAAGGCCCUGUUCGGCCUAGAAGAACAGGCUGUUAUAAAAAUUCAGCCGUGGUCACUUGGGCAUUAGGAUGUGUGCGGGCUAUGGUGAGAGCUCAAGCUCAGCACGCAUGGGACAGGUCCAGAUUAUUGGAUCAUCACGUUCAAGUGGCAAGCCUUCCCAUUUCCACCACCUGUCCAUAAUGAUGGACACUCCAUCAUGAACUCUUUGACUUAACCCAGACAACAUGGAAAAUUGAUUCACCACAACCUUUUUUUUUUUACUUAUUAUUUAUUCAUUAUUUCUUUACAGCUUGAUAUCAAAAUAUUUUUUUCAACAUUCCAAUUUUCAAGAUUUAAUCCUCGAAGUUUCCAUUUUUAAACAAUUUUUUUUUUCAAAAUUCCAAUUUUCCGACUUCCCAAAUUUAGAGCCCGUUUGAUAGUGAUUCUAGUGGAAGUGUUUUUAUUUGAAGUGUUUUCUGUUAUAGUGUUUCUGUGAAAAACACUUUUAUGAUAAUCAGAAAAAAUGAUUCUAAAGUGUUUUUGAUAAUAUAUUGUAUAAAUAUAAAAACACUUUUAAUAUUAAUAAAUUACCAAAAAGGACAUACAAUUUUAAUUAAAAAAAAUGGUAUGAUAAACAAAAAAAACUUUUUAUUAAUGAAAAAACAUCUAAAUCACUAAAAAAAUAACAUUGAAUAAAAGAUAAUUUUAAAAUUAAAACAAUAUAUGAUUACCUAUUAAUUUCUAAAAAAAAAAAGAAUUUUCUAAUUAAAAAUAAUAAUUUUUUUAUCACUAUACUAAAAUUUUAAAAAAUAUUUACAAAAAACAUCUAAAUCAAUAAAAAAAAAAAGAUUGAAUAAAAGAUAAUUUUAAAAGUAAAACAAUAUAUGACCACAUAUUAAUUUCUAAAAAAAAAAAAAGAUUUUUCUAAUUGAUUUAUCACUGGGGGCAUUUUUGGAAUAUUUCAAAAAAAUUGAAGUGUUUUUUAAAAAAAAACACCUGUCAAGUGAUUCUCUAAAAAUCACUUCAAGUGUUUUUCCAGAUUUUCAAAAGUGUUUUUUUAAAUUUGCCAAACACUUUAUUUUCAUCCCAAAAACACUUAAAAGUGUUUUUAAAGGUAGAAACACUUUUAAAAAUCACUGUCAAACGGACUCUUAAUCUCCAAUUUCAAAAAUUCCACUAUUCACAUUUAUUUAUUUAAUUAAUUAUUAUUUUUAUUAUUAUUAUUAUUAUUAUUAUUCCAUUUAUUUAUUUAUUUAUUUUUAAAAUUUCAUUUUUAAACAAUUCUUUAAAAUUCCAAUUUUUAAAUUUAAUUCCAAUUUCUAAAAUUCCAAUUUUUAUAUCAAUUUAUUUAAUCAUUAUCACUUUAUUUAUUUGUUUAUUUGUUUAUUUUUAAAAAUUCAAUCUUCAAAUAACUCUUCAAAAUUCCGAUUUCUAAAUUUAAAUUUCAAUUUUCGAAAUUCUAAUUUUCACAUCAAUUUAUUUAAUCAUCAUUAUUUUAUUUCUUUGUUUUAAAAUUCCACCUUUAAACAAUUAUUCAAAAUUUUGAUUUUCAAAAUUUAUUUCCAAAAUUCCAAUUCAAAAAUUUAAUUCCCAAGACUCCAAUUAUCAGAUAAUCUUCAGGACUUCAAUUUUCAAAUAAAUUUCAAAAAACCAGUUUUCACUCGAACAGUUUUAAUUCCACUUUGGUUUUCAAAUAAUCUUCUUUUUCUCUUAAUUUUAUAUAAGCAUGAAUGUCAUUUUCAUAAUUGUGGAACAAUGGAAUUUGUGAGAUUAAUUCGUGCAAGAUCAAUCGGGCUUUGGUGGGGCCCCACAUACGUGAUUUUAUGAUUGAUUUAUUUAUUUGUUGAUUUGUUUGUCACGCGCGAUUGAUUUAUUCUGCUCUAUGACAUGCUAGAAAUUAUUCCUAAAUUGUGCACUAACCCCUCUAUUGAUAGCGCAUGGUGGAUCGUUGCCCAGGUAUGUACCCAUUUUCCCUCUAAUCAAUGUAUAUGCAUGUCCCGAUUCUCAUAUGUGCAUGAUCACUCCGAGUAUUCAUUGAUUCCAUCAUCAAUUGUCAUGAUUGCUUCAUUUUAUUAGUAGAGACCCGACUUUAGGGACUUAGAAGGGUGCUACGGUCUUUACCGUACCUUCCCGAUAAGUAACCUGACCCCCGAACCCGAUCUGCCCCGAACCCGAUCUGGUUUUUCGUAGACCACAUUUUCCAAAUAAGGAGUCACACUUAAGGUUUUUCUUUCUUAUUUUGUUUACCCUUUAAUAAAACAAAAAUAAGUGGCGACUCCAAGUCAUUUUUUUAACCAAUUAAAUCAUUUUUCAAAAUAAAAAUCGAGCUCGUCAUCGAGUGGGAAACGCAUCAGCACGAAAUGCGGGGUCCACAAGUACAUUCCAAAACUUAAAAUACUCUUAAUUUGUUUUUUUGUAUUUGGAAUUUUUUCUUAAAAAUAAUUUAAAUAGUUUUUAAAAAUAAUUAGAAUAUUCUUAUUUUCAAUCAUUCUCUAUAUUUUUCAAUUAUUUUUAAAAAUAAUCCAAAAUAAUUAAAUAUAUAUAUAUAUAUAUAUUUAAAAUACCUUAUUUUUGGAACUAGUUUUCAAAACACUAAUUUUUAUUAAAAAAAUUAUCAAACUUCUUUUUGAAUUUGAAAAAUAUUUUAUAUUUAAUAGAAUAAAAUAUUAAAAAUAGUUAUCAAAUUACUAACUUUUGUUUAUUUUUUUCAAUGUUUUUAGAUGUCAUUGAUAAUAUCGUAAAUAUAUAAUUUAUAUAUUUUUUAAAUUUUAAAAUAUAAAAGUUAGAAUUUUAAAUAUAUUUCAUCAUUUCAUCAUUAAUACUGAUAGAUUAAAUUAUGAUAAGGAUAACAUGCAUGAAGAUUUGUUAAAAUUUUAGUACUUCUAAUGUUAUUAAACAUAUUUAACUUAUAAUUAUUUUUUAAAAUAGUAUUUUAUUAUUUAAAGUUGUUUAAAUUUUAAUAGUUAUAUAUUUUAUUAUUUUCAAAACAAUUAGUUGUUUAUUUAUACUAUUUUGAUGUUUAUUAUCCUAUAAUAUUUGAUAAAUUACAAAUCUUUAUAUUUAUUUUUUAAGUUAUGAAAUUAUAUUACAUAUAUUUUAAAUACAUUUAUAUACAAAAAAGUUGAGACAUCACAGUGCGACACCCUUGUCUUUUUCCCAAUAAAGACCCAAUUAAAUCCUCAUUCCUCAUCCUUCCAUGCCUUUUAAGCAGGUUCGUCGAUUCACCCGAUUAGGUGAACCGAACCAGGUUAAGGUCCGGGAUUUAGGUUUGAUCCGAUUUUUAAAAUAUAGACUGAACAAAGAACCGUCCUUAUCCUCUUUUCCCUUUACAUACGGCAUAGACCUUUUAGGCGAAGACUUGAGUCCUUUGCCAGAUUUAAGUCGUGAAGGUCUACAGAUUCAGUCUCCUAAGAAAUUGGGCAUGAAUCGCAGCCACCAUUCUUGACUUUUUGCUUUGUUUCUCAUGAAUGCGCAUGUACUAUCUAAUCAGACUGGGGACAACACAUUUACUACCAAUUUGCCCGGGAGACUUGGAUUGUUGGGUCAACGUUGGAAUCCAAGUCUACUGCAAAAUAAUAUAAAUAUUAUAAAUAUAAAUCUGAACAAAAUAAGUACAUGGUGAUUUUUUUAUAUUUAAAAUAAAAUAUUAUAUUACAAUCAUUAAAUAAGUUUUAUUCAUUGGAUCGUUUUUAUAAGUAGAUAUAUUUUUAUAUUAAUAAGUAAUUCUUGUAUUACUUAUAAGCAUAUUAGACCGUGUUAUCGCACCAUUAUAAAAAAUAAAAAUAAAAAAUUAGACAAAAAAAAUGAAGGAAAAAAAAGGAUGAAAAAUGAAAAAAAAAAAAAAGGUGAUAUCACGUAGAAUAAAGGGUGUUUGUUAAAAUUUAAUAAGUUGACUUUAAGUUAAAUUAUAUUUAAAUUAUUAUUUAAUUCUUAUUUUAAGUAUUAAAAUUGUUUCAUAAAAUUAACUUAAAACUUAUUUUAAAUCAUCACAUUAAUAUAUUUACUCUCAUAAAUUAUAAUUAGAGUAAAGAAAAUUAAGUAACAGUGGAGAUCAUGAAAUGUUGAAGGAGAUCUUAAAGGUAAUUAAGAUAAAUGAGGGUAAAAAUAUCAAAUAAGAUGUGAAUUUAAGAAUAAGUUAAUUGUUUUUAUAUAUUAUUUGAAGUUGUGUUUUUUACUUAAAGUCAUACCAUUAAAUUAUUUUACCAAACACACUUAAUUUACUUAAUAAUUUAAAUUAAAUUAUUAAAUUACUUUAAUUAUUAAGUUGAUUUAUCAUACACCCUUUAAGUUACAAUAUGUUUAAAAUAUGACAUUAUAUAAAAUACAUUUUUAUUUUAUUUAUGAUAUCACAUGUAAAAACACUAUACAUAUAUCCUAAAAUAUAUUGUAAUAUUACCCCUUCAUACUAAUAUAUCUCAUAACAAAUGAGAUAUAUGUCAUAUAACUGUUGGUUAUAUUCUUUUUACAAAGUUUUUAAAUUUGACCAAAAACUCAAUAUCAAGCAAAUUUUUUUUAAAGAUUUUGGGUCUAUUUGGCAAUUGUUUUAUAUAACAGAAAUAUGUUCAUAAGAAUAGAAAAACAAAAAAACACAUUUGGUAAUAAAAAAUUAUUUUCUAUUUCGGAGAACAAAAACAAAAUGUUUUUAGAGAACAUCUUUUAAUUGUUUUCUAAGUGUUGUUUUUUUAAAAAAAAUUAUACAAGCAUAUAGAAUAAUUAAAAAUAAAAUAUUUGAUAUAAAAAUUAUUUUUAAAAAUAUUUAAAAAAAAGUUAAAAACAUUUUAAGUCUCAAAUAGACUUUUAUUUUACAAAACAUCUUAAAACAACUUUUAAAAAUAAUAUUUUAAAAUUAUUUGAAAAAACAAUUACCAGAACUUUAAUUUUUAAAAUAAUUUUUCUUUAACUAAAAUCUUUUUUAGGAGAGAAACUGAGGAAGAAAGGUAUGUGAUUGUAAUAAAGAGAUGAUUGAUCAUUUUGGUCAAUUAAAACACGGAAUUAUUUUGAAUAUUUGGAAAAUUGUGAUUUCUUCUAAGUUAAAAUCCCUACAUUCCUUCUCAGCAAAAACAACUGAAUGAUCAAAAACCAAUGUUAAAUCAACAUAAAUAUGAACACUUCUGUGGUAUAAAUAAAAUUUAUCUAAAAUAGUAUGAACAAAACAAAAGUUGGCAUGAGAUAUUUUUCUUCAAAAAAGAAAGAAAGAAAAAAGAAAAGUGCAUAAAAAUAAAUAUAUUACUUGUGAUGUCCACGAAUAGGGGAGAAAGUUUUUAACCAUGUAAACGUAUUACUCUCCUCAGUAAAUAGCAACUAUACAACUAUGACUGCUGUUAGAGUUCUCCGUAAAAGGACGUUGUCCAACGUAGUUGCCUGGAGGAUCAUAGUUGCAAGUGACAAACCACCCGCCACUGUUGCACUGAGCCCUAGCGCACCCAAGACGCAAUGAGUUGCGCCAAAUAACUUGAGUAUAGUGCCUGCAUUCCCCACCAACGCAGGAGUUGGAGUUGUAGUCAUAAUUAGUCUUCUCCCCCACCCACAAGUUCACUGCAUCGAUGCCUGUCAAUGAAGGGGAGCCCCAGGCAAGGUUCUCACCGUAAGGCCCACCUGAAUGCACUAGAUUGCAAUCGCCAAUCCUCUGGUUAGUAUAAUUUUGGGCGUAGGCAGCCACAGUGUUGUCCCAUGACAUAGGCCCAACACCAACUUCUGCACGCGCGACAUUGUGAGCAUCGAGGAAGUCUUGUGGAGAGUUUUGGGCAUAGGAGAUGUGAGCAAGGACUAACCCCAUGAAACCAACAACUAGUGAAGAU